rnacentral:rRNA from 1 species
AUUGAACGCUGGCGGCAGGCCUAACACAUGCAAGUCGAGCGGCAGCGGGACCUUCGGGUUGCCGGCGAGCGGCGGACGGGUGAGUAAUGCCUAGGAAUCUGCCUGUUAGUGGGGGAUAACGCGGGGAAACUCGCGCUAAUACCGCAUACGUCCUACGGGAGAAAGCGGGGGCUCUUCGGACCUCGCGCUAACAGAUGAGCCUAGGUCGGAUUAGCUAGUUGGUGGGGUAAUGGCCCACCAAGGCGACGAUCCGUAACUGGUCUGAGAGGAUGAUCAGCCAAACGGGAACAGAGACACGGUCCAGACUCCUAGGGGGGGCAGCAGGGGGAAAUUUUGGACAAUGGGCGAAAGCCUGAUCCAGCCAUGCGGGGUGUGGGAAGAAGGUUUUCGGAUUGUAAAGCAUUUUAAGUCGGGAGGAAGGGCUGUAGGCUAAUACCUUGCAUUUUUGACGUUACCGACAGAAAAAGCACCGGCUAACUUCGUGCCAGCCGCCGCAGUAAUAC